rfam:Heligmosomoides polygyrus genome assembly, scaffold: HPBE_scaffold0001086
CCAACGGCCCUCUUUAGGGCCACAUCUGCAUCGCUAUACGAAUCG